rnacentral:rRNA from 1 species
UGGGGAAUAUUGCACAAUGGGCGCAAGCCUGAUGCAGCAACGCCGCGUGAGGGACGACGGCCUUCGGGUUGUAAACCUCUUUUGGCAGGGAAGAAGCGAAAGUGACGGUACCUGCAGAAAAAGCACCGGCUAGCUACGUGCCAGCAGCCGCGGUGAUACGUAGGGUGCAAGCGUUGUCCGGAAUUCUUGGGCGUAAAGAGCUCGUAGGCGGUUUGUCGCGUCUGCUGUGAAAACCCGAGGCUCAACCUCGGGCCUGCAGUGGGUACGGGCAAACUAGAGUGCGGUAGGGGAGAUUGAAAUUCCUGGUGUAGCGGUGGAAUGCGCAGAUAUCAGGAGUAACACCGAUGGCGAAGGCAGAUCUCUGGGCCGUAACUGACGCUGAGGAGCGAAAGCAUGGGGAGCGAACA